AGGGAGCCGGAGUGUGGAGGGAACUUGUGACUGGACGAGCUGUGACUGAGAAUAAAGAACUACAAGUGAUAGUAUCAAGACUGGAUGAGCCACGGACAGACAUUCAACAGAAGAGCACACAACAGCAGGCCACGUGUAGUUGAUACAAGAGGAGAGCGUCAGGCGGCAUGUUGGGUAUAUCAGAAAUGCAUUACGCAGUGGAUCCGAUGACCCAGCAGUACUACCGUGGGCAAGUUUUGUGUUCCAGAAAGAUAACAUUCUUCAGAUGACUCGGGAAUCAAAGCAGCCUUCUUACAAGAGUUGAACUCCAUUACAGCGAUGCCUCACUGUGUG